rnacentral:rRNA from 1 species
UACGAGGGGUGCAAGCGUUGCUCGGAAUUAUUGGGCGUAAAGGGUAGGUAGGUGGUCUCAUUUGUCUGGGGUGAAAGCCUUGAGCUUAACUCAAGAAGUGCCCCAGAAACGGUGAGACUGGAGUCUUGGAGAGGGUCGUGGAAUUCCUGGUGUAGCGGUGAAAUGCGCAGAUAUCAGGAGGAACACCUGUGGUGUAGACGGCUUUCUGGACCAUAACUGACGCUGAGACACGAAAGCGUGGGUAGCAAACAGG